rnacentral:rRNA from 1 species
AAUCAACGCUGGCGGCGUGCCUCAGACAUGCAAGUCGAACGAUUAAACUUUCCUUCGGGAAAGAUAUAAAGUGGCGCACGGGUGAGUAACACGUAAGUAAUCUACCUUCGAGUGGGGAAUAACGUUCGGAAACGAACGCUAAUACUGCAUAAUGCAGCGGCACCUAAUGGUGACAGUUGUUAAAGGAGCAAUUCGCUUGAAGAGGAGCUUGCGGCAGAUUAGCUAGNGGUAAGGUAACGGCUUACCAAGGCUACGAUCUGUAACCGGUCUAAGAGGACGGUCGGUCACACUGACACUGAAUAACGGGUCAGACUCCUACGGGAGGCAGCAGUCGGGAAUUUCGGGCAAUGGGCGAAAGCCUGACCCAGCAACGCCGCGUGAAGGAUGAAGUAUUUUCGGGUUGUAAACUCCUGUCAUUUGAGAACAAGGUGCAUCGGUUAACUGCCGUGCAUUGAUAGUAUCAGAAGAGGAAGAGACGGCUAACUCUGUGCCAGCCGCCG